rnacentral:rRNA from 1 species
AACGGCCGUACCAUGCUGAAUAUCCCGGUUCUCGUUAGAUCACCGAAGUUAAGCAUCAUUGGGCGCGGUCAGUACUUGGGUGGGUGACCACCUGGGAACACUGCGUGCCGUU